rnacentral:lncRNA from 1 species
GCAAGUGUUACAUGCCCAGGAGCAAGAACUGUACUUUGCAAACAUGGCACUUAUUUCUGAAAAAUACUCAUGUGAGAAUAAUAAUAAUUAAAAAAAGGCAGACAUUGAAAAGCAUCAAAAUCAAAUGAAAUAUCAUGAAGCAAUUCAACUGCAUUCAGAAACUGGAAGUUUUGCAGAUUCCUAUAAGGAAAAAUGAAAGACAAGAAUUGCACCUUCCUUACUGUGAUGUAUUAUUGGCAAUCAGUGACAACCUUCUUC